UGCAAGUCGAACGGUGAAAGAGAGCUUGCUCUCUGGAUCAGUGGCGAACGGGUGAGUAACACGUGAGCAAUCUGCCCCUGACUCUGGGAUAAGCGCUGGAAACGGCGUCUAAUACCGGAUACGAGCUGCGAAGGCAUCUUCAGCAGCUGGAAAGAACUUCGGUCAGGGAUGAGCUCGCGGCCUAUCAGCUAGUUGGUGAGGUAAUGGCUCACCAAGGCGUCGACGGGUAGCCGGCCUGAGAGGGUGACCGGCCACACUGGGACUGAGACACGGCCCAGACUCCUACGGGAGGCAGCAGUGGGGAAUAUUGCACAAUGGGCGCAAGCCUGAUGCAGCAACGCCGCGUGAGGGACGACGGCCUUCGGGUUGUAAACCUCUUUUAGCAGGGAAGAAGCGAAAGUGACGGUACCUGCAGAAAAAGCACCGGCUAACUACGUGCCAGCAGCCGCGGUAAUACGUAGGGUGCAAGCGUUAUCCGGAAUUAUUGGGCGUAAAGAGCUCGUAGGCGGUUUGUCGCGUCUGCUGUGAAAUCCCGAGGCUCAACCUCGGGCCUGCAGUGGGUACGGGCAGACUAGAGUGCGGUAGGGGAGAUUGGAAUUCCUGGUGUAGCGGUGGAAUGCGCAGAUAUCAGGAGGAACACCGAUGGCGAAGGCAGAUCUCUGGGCCGUAACUGACGCUGAGGAGCGAAAGGGUGGGGAGCAAACAGGCUUAGAUACCCUGGUAGUCCACCCCGUAAACGUUGGGAACUAGUUGUGGGGUCCAUUCCACGGAUUCCGUGACGCAGCUAACGCAUUAAGUUCCCCGCCUGGGGAGUACGGCCGCAAGGCUAAAACUCAAAGGAAUUGACGGGGACCCGCACAAGCGGCGGAGCAUGCGGAUUAAUUCGAUGCAACGCGAAGAACCUUACCAAGGCUUGACAUAUACGAGAACGCUGCAGAAAUGUAGAACUCUUUGGACACUCGUAAACAGGUGGUGCAUGGUUGUCGUCAGCUCGUGUCGUGAGAUGUUGGGGUUAAGUCCCGCAACGAGCGCAACCCUCGUUCUAUGUUGCCAGCACGUAAUGGUGGGGAACUCAUGGGGAUACU
rnacentral:rRNA from 1 species